rnacentral:rRNA from 1 species
CGCCAGACUCCUACGGGAGGCAGCAGUGGGGGAUAUUGCACAAUGGGGGGAACCCUGAUGCAGCGACGCCGCGUGGGUGAAGGAGUGCUUCGGCAUGUAAAGCCCUAUCGGCAGGGAAGAAGCAAGACGGUACCUGACUAAGAAGCCCCGGCUAACUACGUGCCAGCAGCCACGGUAAUACGUAGGGGGCGAGCGUUAUCCGGAUUCACUGGGUGUAAAGGGAGCGUAGACGGCCAUGCAAGCCAGGGGUGAAAGCCCGGGGCCCAACCCCGGGACUGCCCUUGGAACUGCAUGGCUGGAGUGCGGGAGGGGCAGGCGGAAUUCCUAGUGUAGCGGUGAAAUGCGUAGAUAUUAGGAGGAACACCAGUGGCGAAGGCGGCCUGCUGGGCUUUUACUGACGCUGAGGCUCGAAAGUGUGGGGAGCAAACAGGAUUAGAUACCCGAGUAGAC